rnacentral:rRNA from 1 species
CCUACGGGUGGCUGCAGUGGGGAAUAUUGGACAAUGGGGGCAACCCUGAUCCAGCCAUGCCGCGUGUGUGAAGAAGGCCCUCGGGUUGUAAAGCACUUUCAGUGAGGAAGAACGCCUGGUGGUUAAUACCCAUCAGGAAAGACAUCACUCACAGAAGAAGCACCGGCUAACUCCGUGCCAGCAGCCGCGGUAAUACGGAGGGUGCGAGCGUUAAUCGGAAUUACUGGGCGUAAAGCGCGCGUAGGUGGCUUGAUAAGCCGGUUGUGAAAGCCCCGGGCUCAACCUGGGAACGGCAUCCGGAACUGUCAAGCUAGAGUGCAGGAUAGGAAGGUAGAAUUCCCGGUGUAGCGGUGAAAUGCGUAGAGAUCGGGAGGAAUACCAGUGGCGAAGGCGGCCUUCUGGACUGACACUGACACUGAGGUGCGAAAGCGUGGGUAGCAAACAGGAUUAGAUACCCCAGUAGUC